GACGAACGCUGGCGGCGUGCUUAACACAUGCAAGUCGAACGAGAAUCUGUGGAAAGAGGAUUCGUCCAAUUGAAGCAGAGGACAGUGGCGGACGGGUGAGUAACGCGUGAGGAACCUGCCUUUCAGAGGGGGACAACAGUUGGAAACGACUGCUAAUACCGCAUGACACAUCGGAGUCGCAUGGCUCUGAUGUCAAAGAUUUAUCGCUGAAAGAUGGCCUCGCGUCUGAUUAGCUAGUUGGUGAGGUAACGGCCCACCAAGGCGACGAUCAGUAGCCGGACUGAGAGGUUGAACGGCCACAUUGGGACUGAGAUACGGCCCAGACUCCUACGGGAGGCAGCAGUGGGGAAUAUUGGGCAAUGGGCGCAAGCCUGACCCAGCAACGCCGCGUGAAGGAAGAAGGCUUUCGGGUUGUAAACUUCUUUUGUCAGGGACGAGUAGAAGACGGUACCUGACGAAUAAGCCACGGCUAACUACGUGCCAGCCGCCGCGGUAAAAC
rnacentral:rRNA from 1 species